AAUUAAGGAACGCAGCCUAAAAGCGCGACGUCCUGUCGCAAUUGCUGGAUGACCCACAUCCAGCGGA
rnacentral:sRNA from 1 species